AUCCGGCUGACGAGUUGUAAAUAGAACUAAAAGCGCAUCCUGGAU
rfam:Schistosoma mattheei strain Denwood, Zambia genome assembly, scaffold: SMTD_scaffold0000953